rfam:Pongo abelii chromosome X.
GCUGGGCAUGGUGGCACGUGCCUGUAGUGCCAGCUACUCAGGAGGCUAAGGCAGGAGGAUCAUUUGAGUCCAAGAGUUCUGGGUUGUAAUGCACUGUGUCUAUCAGGUGUUUGCACUAAGUUCAGCAUCAAUAUAGUGACCUCCCAGGAGUGGGGGACCACCAGGCUGCCUAUGAACCAGCCCAGGUUGGAAAUGGAGCAGGUCAAAACUCCCACGCUGAUCAGUAUUGGGACUGUACCUGUGAAUAGCCACUGCGCUCCAGCCUGGGCAACACAGUGAGACCCUGUCUCUA